UACGGAGGGGGCUAGCGUUGUUCGGAAUUACUGGGCGUAAAGCGCGCGUAGGCGGCUUUGUAAGUUAGAGGUGAAAGCCCGGGGCUCAACUCCGGAACUGCCUUUAAGACUGCAUCGCUAGAACGUCGGAGAGGUGAGUGGAAUUCCGAGUGUAGAGGUGAAAUUCGUAGAUAUUCGGAAGAACACCAGUGGCGAAGGCGACUCACUGGACGACUGUUGACGCUGAGGUGCGAAAGCGUGGGGAGCAAACAGG
rnacentral:rRNA from 1 species